rnacentral:tRNA from 1 species
UGCCGGUGGCGGGGGUGGACCGCCUGCGGCUCGGCGCGCCGCUGGCGGUCAAGGAUCUGGUAGCUGCUCUGCGCUUCUGCGCGCAGCCGCUGG